rnacentral:rRNA from 1 species
CAGUCGCCACGGGAAUACAGAGGGUGCGAGCGUUAAUCGGAUUUACUGGGCGUAAAGCGUGCGUAGGCGGCUUCUUAAGUCGGAUGUGAAAUCCCUGAGCUUAACUUAGGAAUUGCAUUCGAUACUGGGAAGCUAGAGUAUGGGAGAGGAUGGUAGAAUUCCAGGUGUAGCGGUGAAAUGCGUAGAGAUCUGGAGGAAUACCGAUGGCGAAGGCAGCCAUCUGGCCUAAUACUGACGCUGAGGUACGAAAGCAUGGGGAGCAAACAGGAUUAGAUACCCGAGUAGUCCCUGUCUCUUAUAC